rnacentral:rRNA from 1 species
CCUACGGGUGGCAGCAGUGAGGAAUAUUGGUCAAUGGGCGAGAGCCUGAACCAGCCAAGUCGCGUGAGGGAGUACUGCCCUAUGGGUUGUCAACCUCUUUUGUCGGGGAGCAAAAGCCGGACGUGUCCGGCUGUGAGAGUACCCGAAGAAAAAGCAUCGGCUAACUCCGUGCCAGCAGCCGCGGUAAUACGGAGGAUGCGAGCGUUAUCCGGAUUUAUUGGGUUUAAAGGGUGCGCAGGCGGAUUUUUAAGUAAGCGGGCAAAUCGUGGGGCUCAACCCCAUCCAGCCGUUGAAACUGGGGAUCUAGAGUGUGCGAGAGGGAUGCGGAAUGCGUGGUGUAGCGGUGAAAUGCAUAGAUAUCACGCAGAACCCCGAUUGCGAAGGCAGCGUGCCGUGCCGCCACUGACGCUGAGGCACGAAAGCGCGGGGAUCGAACAGGAUUAGAUACCCGUGUAGUC